ensembl:lncRNA
CGAAUUCUAGAUCCCUGGUACUGAAGAAGGGGAAGCCAGCGGACAAGUUCGCUAUUCAAGACACACAGAUCCCAUCCUUCACAGAAAAACCGGACCUGAGCCCUAGGACCAUGCCCCAGGACUACCUGACAUGAUGACUCCUUGCUGUCCCCAGUCCAUCUGACCGUGCUGCUGCUCCAGUUUCAACUGUUCUGCCUUAUUAUUAUACGACCAUGCUGGUCAUUUAUGAACAUUUGAACAUCUUGGCCAUGUUCUGUUAUAAUCUCCACCCGGCACAGCCAGAAGAGGACUGGCCACCCCACAGAGCCUGGUUCCUCUCUAGGUUUCUUCCUAGGUUUUGGCCUUUCUAGGGAGUUUUUCCUAGCCACCGUGCUUUUACACCUGCAUUGCUUGCUGUUUGGGGUUUUAGGCUGGGUUUCUGUACAGCACUUUGAGAUGUCAGCUGAUGUACGAAGGGCUAUAUAAAUCAAUUUGAAUUUGAUUUGAAUUUGAAUAGUCUAUGGCUGUCUGGAGUGGUUCUCAAUCAGUGGCAGGUGUUUAUCGUUAUCUCUGAUUGGGAACCAUAUUUAGGCAGCCAUAUUCUUUGAGUGUUUUGUGGGUGAUUGUUCCUGUCUCUGUGUUUGUUUGCACCAGAUAGGCUGUUUAGGUUUUCACGUUUGUUGUUUUGUAUUGUUUGUGGUUUCAUCUUUAUUAAAGAUGUAUUCAAAUAACCACGCUGCAUUUUGGUCCGAUCCCUGCUACACCUCCUCUUCAGAGGAAGAGGAGAAAGAAAAGCGUAACAAUAUCUACAUAGGCAUACAGAGGCCCAUUAUCAGCAACCGUCACUCCUGUGUUCCAAUGGCAUGUUGUGUUAGCUAAUCUAAGUUUAUCAUUUUAAAAGGCUAAUUAAUCAUUAGAAAACCCUUUUGCAAUCAUUUUAGCACAGCAGAAAACUGUUGUCCUUCUUUAGACUAGUUGAGUAUCUGGAGCAUCAGCAUUUGUGGGUUCGAUUACAGGCUCAAAAUGGCCAGAAACAAAGAACUUCCUUCUGAAACUCGUCAGUCUAUUCUUGUUCUGAGAAAUUAAGGC